GCAGGAAUGCAUGGGGUCAGGCCGGGACAGAGUAAGUUGGAUCAUUAGGGUUUUGCAUGAAUUUCUUCGGGGAUCCCGGAAGGAUCAGCUGUGAAAGGAACGUGAAUGGGUCCUCCCCUAAAUUGGAUUGGCCGCCGACGAGAAAAUGAAAGACAGGCCCUCGCUACUCAGUUCUACAGUGACCCAUGGAGGCGAAAACAGAAUCCGGAUAUCUCUCACACAAGGAUAUGGAUCUUUUUAUGAUCCGACCCGGCGGUUCCUACAGCAGCAUUCCUCACGUAGCACGGACAAAAGGAGGUUAUACAACCACGACUUUUGUUUAAGAUGUAUUACGGGAACAUAUCUUUCUUGCAAACCGCGGAGUGUGGGAGACUGAGCACCAGUGAAAAGAAAUGAAUUUAGCGGUUAUAUCCUACACAAACCGCUGUUUCCGAGAAAACUACCCUCCUUUCUUACCCCUCAAUUCCGCACUUGCAGAUUCAUUCUUGGUGAAUCGGCUUUGCAGAUUUUUGUUUGCCUCUGUUCUUGAUCAUGGCCGUGAUUUGCAGGUUAUACGUUUUCUAAUUCUAAGAUGUUAAUUUCUCCGGGUUCUAUUUGUGUUUCUCGAGGGUGUGAUGCUGCACUGGCUAAGAAUAAUGAAAGGGCACUUACUGGUGGUGGGUAUGGUCAAUGGGGGGCCUCUUGAUCAGCAAAGGCUUAUGGGUACGAUCAAGCCUAUUGAUGGAAGGGGAGGUCAUCCUUGUGGUUUCUAUGAAGAAGCUUAACAAGGAUGGAUUUCGGGUUUGUCUUGCAUAGUUGCACUACAUAUUUUUUUAACUAUUAAAUUAUUUUAUUUUGUUUUUCAUAUCGGUGGCAGCCAUCUGUUAAGAAGCUUAACAAUGAUGGAUUUCAGGUUUGUCUUGCACAGUUGCACUGCAUAUUGAUCUCUGUAUCGAGGAUAGUUUACACAAAUAUAUAAGAAUGCCAUAGAUAGUUUUUUUUUUUUUUUUUGUGCCACAGAUAGUGUUGGUUUUAAAUAUGAAAAAAAUGUGGAAACAUCUCUUUACGUGCUUUAGGCCUUCAUUUAUUAUCAUUUCUACACAUUGUAUAUAAGCAGUAGAUUCCAAUCAUUUGCAGUCUUUAGUUUUAUUAAGUUUAUAUUGAACUCAAUUAUAAGAAGUUUCAUGAAAUUUUGCCUUUUACCCCACUUUACUUCUCCACAGAACCAUGGGUCAAAUUGUGCAACUUCCACAGGUCAUCCUUCUUUCUCUGUCAAUUUCACUUUUGGCAUUAACGUGACUGCACCCCAGGUUCCUACCCUCCCGUCAGUAGUUUCUUCGUUGUCAAAGGCAAAUGCAAGCUUUAUUCCAACAAUGCUUUUAACAAUGACGAAGCCCUUAUUGCUGAAGCAGUUAGGAUCUUGAAUGAGGGCCGCUUUUAAAAUUAAUCAAAAAGAUGGAAAUUGAUAGGGAAAGAAUUUUGGGAUGGAGUCCCUGUCAAAAAUAUUCUGGAAUAUGCUGUAUUAGGUUCCCUCUCUGAACUGUUAUACAAAUGGAAUCAAAUUGUUUGCAAGAGAGGAAACUUGGAAAAUUCAGAGCCUUCUGAAACUAGGAAGCAGAGCAAGAAAACAGAGACCCAGUCAUUGUCCUCAUGGUAGUUGAGCAUGUUCUGCUGGAAAUGGCAUUGCUUGAGAAAUAGAAAAUGAUGAAAGGAUACAUGAGAUCCUUCUUUCCUGAUUUCCUUUUGGUUUUGCAUGUCAAGUAGCAUUUACACAGCAAUAUCAUCUGUUAUUAGCUUUCUCUUAAAUGUUUUAGAUGUGCUUAUAAGUUUUAUCCUCUAUUUUUGGUUUUUGAAUACGAUGAGCUUUUGAUCAUUAUUGCAAUUGUUAUCCGAUUGAUUCAUUACAUUCCUUCUUUACCUAUUUAAGUUUUUGUUUUGCAGAAUCAUGAAACUGGGACAAAGAGAAGUUACAGAGAACUGUUGAAAAGCGGUGUAGGAAUUAUUAAAAUACAAACUCAUGGGUGGGAACGGGUACCAAAUCUAAUCAUUUGCAUCAAAUUCGAGAGUGAAGCAGUAUGCAAAAAUUUCUUUUCAGGUUUACUUUUCUUUCUUUCCUCAUUCUAUUAUUUCAAUCAAUAUAUUCAUAAUUUCUGCAUACACUAUAUUUUUUGAUUAUAAAUUGUCCCUUCUCUGACCUUUUAUAUAUAUUCUGGCUAUUUUGGUCUUCAUCACACGGUAUCAUUUUCAGUUUGUCUUCCUAUACGUUUGCACACAAUUAAUGAUUUUAAGAAGAUGUUCUUGAUUACUGCUUGAGGUAUUUUGGUCAGACAUGGUGUUGUUCUCUAUUGUCUUAUCAUUAAUGCUCUUAUUGUAGCUUUUAACCUCUGAUUGGACACAUUUGAUAUUCCAGGUUCGCAUAGAUUCCAAUCACAACUCUUGAAGUGAACAGCAAAAUGAAAUGGGUAACUGAUAAUAUUUAUAUAUCAUUUUGUGGUUGCUUUGGUAUAUUUGUAUAUGUUAAUUAUGUUUGUUUUAAUGAUUGGUUCUUACACAAUGUUUUUUUUUUAAAAAGUCGUAAAUAUUAUUAGGAUGCAUUGAAAGAAGGAAAACACAUGGUGAUAUUUUGUGUGCAUUGAUUGCCACUUUUCUAAUUCCUGGAGCCGGGUUUCAUAAAUCGCAUUUCAUGUCUUAUAGAGCAUGUAUCAUGUAUGUAAAUUUUUGAAUUAUAGGUGGUUUCUAACUGUAGAGGUCUUGCUUCUAAACUGAUUGGUCAAGGAUAUGAAUUGGUUUCUGAUGGGAGUGAUCAUCACUUGGUCCUUGUGAAUCUCUGGCCAUUCAAUGUCAAUGGUGCUCAGGUAGAAAAGAUUCUUAACAUGGCUUCCAUCAUGCUCAAUAAAAAAUCAGUUGCUGAUGAUAAAAGUGAAAUAUUUACGGAGGGCGCCCGCAUUGGAACUCCGGGCCAUGACUACAAGAGGUUUCACACAGAAAGAUUUCAUGUUAGUUGCAGACUCGACGAGAGGAUUAUAUACAUUCUGAGAAAGGUGAUAAAUCGCAGAAUCAAGAUAUGUCUGCACACGGACAUUACACCUGAUCCUAUUCAAACCUUGACUCUCAAACAACCGAAUCAGAAGACUAACACCGAGCAUUUGGAUGUUUUUAUCUCUCUCUGCCUUCCUUGAUCAUGUCCGGUUUCCAUCUCUCUCUUUAGGUACAGGAUUUUCAUUCUUGCACAGAAUGAGACAGAAACUUUUAACUUUAUCCUGGUAGAUCGUGAUGCUAAGAGGAUUAUUGACAAAAAUCAUUGUAUGAUUUAAGUAAACUCUUGCAAUGUAUCUUAUGUUUGUCAAAAUGCAUUCAGUCUGGUGUGAGAGAAAUCUUUCCUUUAAAGAUUAAGGAUAUCGCUUGCAAGGCAUUAACACUGAAAACACAGAUCAAACAUGACAACUUGCUUUUAAAAAGCACAAUAUUCUUUGCACCAUAUGCUUUUGUGUUCGGACUCAGCAGUUCAGCUAGCUUGGAUGGAUCAGCUACUGCGAUGACUAUUUUAAGUAAUGGUGAUGUGAGUUGUGCUGAAUAUUUUUCAAUUCCAAAAGUACAUAUGAAAUCUAUCAUAAUUAUGAUUUAGUUUUACAUCCUUCUUCCUUUGCUGAGCAAUAUGGUUAAUCUUGCACAACCUGGUGACACACCUGUGUCCGUCAAAUCUUCCAGCAAAAAAAUUAACUUGGAAGUCUGAUAACAGUGAUUUGUUUUCAUGGAGACUGGCCUGCAAUCCAUAUGUUUGGCAUCCUCAAUGAUGCAUCAACUAUUCAUUAGAUUUCUUCUUCAUUUGUUCUCAGUUAUUGUUUUUCUAUCUUUUGUUUUGUGCAUCUGAAUUCCAGUCAGUUCAUCACUCUUGAGCAUUUUUUCUUUUGACAUUUGGUUACUAUUGUUUGCACUUCGUUUGAAUUUAAAUGAAAAACUAUCAGAAGUUUGUUUUA